UACAGAGGGUGCAAGCGUUGCUCGGAAUCAUUGGGCGUAAAGGGCAAGUAGGUGGUCUCAUUUGUCUAGGGUGAAAUCCUUGAGCUUAACUCAAGAAGUGCCCUAGAAACGGUGAGACUCGAGUUCUGGAGAGGGUCGUGGAAUUCCCGGUGUAGCGGUGAAAUGCGUAGAGAUCGGGAGGAACACCAGUGGCGAAGGCGGCGACCUGGACAGACACUGACACUCAACUGCGAAAGCGUGGGGAGCAAAAAGG
rnacentral:rRNA from 1 species